UACUUGUCACAGCUGUUUUGCACUGUCCUUUGACUUUGCGUCAUCCCAGAGUAAUGUAACCUCCUUCAUUGCACACAUUUCACCACUUUCCCUAUAAUGGUGAGGACAAGGCGAGAUAUAAAAAACUCGAUCAGUGAACAAAAUUUGUGAGAGAAUGCAUUAGAAAAACUAUACAUGCAACAGUAAUCAAACACAUUGGAUGACAGAAAGCACACCACAUUAUGGCAAGGGAAUACAAUCUCUUCCAUCAUCAAUCUCUAAUUGAUCUACAUCAUCGCCAAUUGCCAUCUCUUCCUUGAGGCAUGGUCAUUUUGGCUCAUUACACAAUUCACAUUAAUCAAGUUGAUUGAGAUGCCACCAAAAACAUCUAAUACUGAAGAUGCAUCAUCAGUGCUUAGAAACUUCAUCCCAAAUUGUCACAAGGAGUAGUAGUCAUAUCAUGCAUGAAUAAAUUUUAUUUAUUUAUUAUUUAUUUUGUGUCAAAUAGCCAUCCAACUCAAAAAUUACAAAAGUUGCAGAGAGAUAGAAAGAGUUGAAAUUCUUAGGAUCCGUUUGAAUGGAUGUGGAUUUAAAAUGUGUGGAUUUAACAUUAUGUACCACAGACCUGGAUCAAAGUGGAUCUAAUUGGACAAAAAUUAAAAGGAUCCUCGUAGACUAUUUAACUGCAUAAAAUUUAAAGGUUCUAAUAUUGUUAAUUAACCCAGCAUUUUGGUCCGGCCUCAAAGUUGCGGUGCAAAAACUAGCAUUUUGGGACCUGCUACAAAUAUUGUUAACCCAAUCUGCAAAUAAGAAGCCAAGUAAGAGUGAAACCAACAAAAAGAAACUAGGCCAAAACAAAGAGUAGGCCAUUCCUUUUUUCUCUCUUUGUCAAUGCUUCAACUACUAAUGAAGGUACUUUGAUCUUAUACAGGUGCAUGCUUCAAUACAAAAGCAAAUGGGGAUAUGAUAUGAUAGGACAUAAAUUUAAUUAUUAAGGCAUGGCAGAAGUUGAUUGAAAUUAGAUUUUGAAUGAUCUGAUUUGUGGACUAAUAGUUUUGAGCAUUCUUUGGUGGUUUCUUCAUUUCAUUAACUAAAUCAUCUCUAGAUGUUCUUUUGAUUCAGUCAAAUCAAAUUACUUUAUCAUUAAUUGUUUGAGUGCUUGCUCUUGAUUAUUGUAUUAUUCUUUAUAGGUUGAAGGCCAAACAGAGGAAGUUAUUUUUGACCAUUUGCAUGCAACUGCUUUCCAGCACAUGCCUUUAGGCAGAACCAUUCUUGGUCCUCCUCAAAGUGUCAGGACAAUCACCAAAGAUCAUUUUCAAAAGUAUAUAUCGACACGCUAUACUACAUCCAGAAUGGUAAUUUUUGCUUCUGGAGUGUGAAGCAUGAGGACCUUGUUGAGCAAGUGAAGAAGUUGUUUACCAAAUUGUCAUCAGAUCCAACCACGACUUCUGAAUUAGUUGCCAAAGGGCCAGCAAUUUUUUCAGAAUUUUUUGUGUUAAAAUCCUUUGGUUUUUUAUUUCUCUUAUUUUUUCUUUUUUUCCUCGGAUCUGAUAGUGGGUGUUUUGGUUCACUUCUUAUUUUCUGUAUUAAAUGGGGGAGUGGUGAGAGAGAGAGGAGGGUAAUGUUAUUUUGUGGCUUUGUAUAUAAGGUAGUAAUUUUUUGUUUGAGAAUUGUGAAUUCAAUUUUUGGAUAUGUUAUUUUGUGGGAAAAUUAAUGCUAUAUUAAAUUGAAUGAGAAAGUGAAUUAAUG